AACGCGAAGAACCUUACCUACCCUUGACAUCCAAAGAAUUUUGCAGAGAUGCGAAAGUGCCGAAAGGAACUUUGAGACAGGUGCUGCAUGGCUGUCGUCAGCUCGUGUUGUGAGAUGUUGGGUUAAGUCCCGUAACGAGCGCAACCCUUAUCCUUAGUUGCCAACAUGUAAUGGUGGGGACUCUAAGGAGACUGCCGGUGAUGAACCGGAGGAAGGCGGGGACGACGUCAAGUCAUCAUGGCCUUUAUGGGUAGGGCUACACACGUGCUACAAUGGGCGGUACAGAGGGCAGCGAAAGCGCGAGCUGGAGCUAAUCCCGAAAAGCCGUUCAUAGUCCGGAUCGGAGUCUGCAACUCGACUCCGUGAAGUCGGAAUCGCUAGUAAUCGCGAAUCAGAAUGUCGCGGUGAAUACGUUCCCGGGCCUUGUACACACCGCGCAUA
rnacentral:rRNA from 1 species